rnacentral:lncRNA from 1 species
UUUUUUUUUUUUUUUUUUUUUUUUGCCAACUUGACACAAGCUAGAGUUAUCUGAGCAGGGGAACCACAAUUGAGAAAAUGCCUCCGAACAAUUGGCUGUGGCUUCUACAAUAGAACCUUAUAGAGGUGGGACAGCUCACCAGCUCACAGUGAUUCAGGUUCCUGUGCGGGGUCAGUUUCUGACGCACAAUCUUCCCUGGAGUGUAGAUAGUCAUGAUCACCUUUACCCUGAGUGUGGAGAGAGUCUCCUCCUCCUCCUUCAUUUUAUGUAUAUGAGAACACUGUAGCUGUCUUCAGACACACCAGAAGAGGGCGCCAGAUCCCACUACAGAUGGUGUUGGCCACCAUGUGGUUGCUGGGAAUUGAACUCAGGACCUCUGGAAGAGCAGUCGAUACUCUUAACCUCUGAUCCUUCUCUGCGGCUGGCAAGGCUCCUUCUUAUAAGUCCAUCACUCCUGUUGGGUAAGGCUCAGGUUUGCACGUCUGUUUAACUUUAAUUGCCACAACCAGGCUGUUUCCAGGGCUCUCACUCUCACAGGACACAGCCUCAGGCUCUCCCUGGGAGACAUAGCUUAGGUGGCCACCAAAACCAGAGAGCCUCACACGCACUGUCCUCCAUUCAGCUCCAUUGAAGGCUGGAGGAGCCUUUGGGAGAAAGCACUGUAUUUGAGGACAGGCAAUUUGCUGUGUAGCAGGGAGGAUGUCAGCCACGGUGGUGUGAACGGUGCUGGUGAUGACGGUGCUGGUGCCUAAUACCAGUUAGACGCCCAGUGCUGUUGAAUUUUCCACUUUAUGUGAGAAUUAAUCCUUGCAAUUAUAUGUUAGGAGCCAGAAUUGGCCCAGUCUCCCAGUGAGGGACAAGAGGCUAAGCACAUCUAAGCAUCUCUUGUAGAUAGAAGGUGGCAUAGUUAGGAACAGAAUUCAGGCCUUUGAAUUUUCUUCCAAAGUUGUUAAAAUCCCAUGGCCCUGCUCACAGGCUGUCAGGCGCAGGGCUGUCGGGCGCUCUUGUGUUUGGUCAGAGUGAGGUCCAGUCCAUUCUCCACUCAGGCUUCCUGUGACCCCACUGGUCAGAGGCCUAGGGGCAGCAUGGGAGAGUCCAGAAGCCACUUUGCACUUGCAGCUCCAGGGUAAUGAGGGUGCUCCUCCCCCUGCCCCUGGGGACUCCUGGGAGUGAGGUUUUUGUGAAGUGAGGACAGGGGUGGAGGUGGGUAGAGGUUCCAAAGACAGCUAGGUGGUGGUGGGGACAGUGUUCAGCCCAAUGGCAGGCCGGCCGACUGUGGUGGGGUGUAACAGAAGUUGCUGGGUGUUGCUGCUUGGAUGUCAAUGGGAGGAGAAUCUGUGGAGUACUGUGUAAUACCAUGUAGCUGCUUAGUUCUGUGUAGUACUGGAGUACUGUGUAGUACAGGAGCAGUAUAUAAAACCAUGUAGUACUAUGUAGUGCUGUGCAGCACUGUGGAGUAUAGGAGUACUGUGGAAUGGCAUAGUACUGUGUAGUACUAUGCAGUAUUGUGUAGUACUGUGUGGCAUGCUAUAGUACUGGAGAACUAUGCAGUACUGUGAAGUACUGUGUGGUACUGUGAAACACUGUGUAGUACCAUGGAUUACUGUGUCGUACCCUGUAGUACUAGAGUACUGUGUAGAACUGUGUAGGGCUAUUUGGUAGUGUGUAGCACUACAGUACUGUGUAGAACUAUGCAGGGCCGUGUAGUACUAGAUUACUGUGCAGCACUGUAUAGUACUAUAGUGCUAUGUAGUAGUGUAGUACAGUACUGUGGAGUGCUGUAGUACUGUGUAGUACUAUGCAGUAUUGUGUAGUACUGUGUGGCACGCUGUAGUACUGGAGUACUGUGUAGUACUGGAGUAUUGUGUAGUACUGUGUAGUAUAGGAACACUGUGGAAUGCUGUAGUACUGUGUAGUACUUGGGUGCUGUAUACUACUGUGUAGUACUGGAGUACUGUGGAAUGCUGUAGUACUAUGUAGUACUGGCGUGCUGUGUAGUACUGUGCAGCACUAUAUAGUACUGGAGUACUGUGGAAUGCUGUAGUAUUGUGUAGUACUGGAGUAUUGUGUAGUACUGUGCAGCACUGUGUAGUACUGGAAUACUGUGCACUACUAUGUAGUUCCAGGCUAACAAUACACAGAGGCGGAAACCUUGAGAUCAUCUCUCAUGAAAGACGACCAAUGGUUGUCAUGGUAAUGCCAGUUGCUAUGAGUAGCAGCAGAGUGAAGGAUGCCAGUGUUCAUUCAUGGCAGCAGCUACAGUAGCAGUCAAGGUCCUGCCCCUGCUUACUCCUGACUGGAGGGGUCGUGACCUUGGAGCCCACAUUUCACCUUUAUCUUUGUUAAACUCCUAGCACUUAGAUUUCUCUCCACAGAGCUCCUAGCUACAAUGCCUGGUAUGUGACAGACUGAGGUGUCUGACACACAAUGAUAAUUCCCUGAGUGACGGUCAUGACAAGUGAGGCCUAAUGCGUCACUAGGGUUCAAGGUGAAGCCUCUGACGUUCUCAGAGCCACAGUGAUUCCAGGAAGGACAGGGCACAAAAGUAGGCUCAGGGCUGCUCAGCCUGGGCCAGCUGGUGUGCUUAAAGGUGCAGCUCCCUCAGAGGCUGCCAGCAAUGGAGAAAAAUUUGAGGGACCUCAGAGAUCUUUUUGCCUUUUAAAACCAAUCAUGCGACCCACCCAUGAUGGCGUAUGCUCGUAAUGACACACUCAGGAGGCCGAGGCAAGAGUACUUUGAUGCAAGAAACGAAAGAUACUCCCAGACCCAGAUAGCCAUUGCAUGUAAGAGUUCCAAGACACACAUGGAGACUGUGACAAACCCCUUACUAGUUCAGUGAGGAGUACAUGGGUCCCAAAUUGACCUGAUUGCAGAGUAAAUUUAUAGAAAGUUACAGAAAUUGGACUUGUGGGCUGCACCUCACAUUCUCGGGGUUGGACCGUGCCAGCAACUUGAUGUGUGGAAUUCAGAAGUGUCUCAUUUUAAAAUCAGAAAUAGGGGUGGGGAACUGUGGCAUUGCCACAAGUAAGGGACUGAGUUACAACACGCCCUUCAGGACAAUUUGACAUGGAUCCACCCAGGGGCUAAUUUGAGAUUCUGAUGGACUCUGGCUGUGGUCUCCUCCCAACUGUGGAGGAAGUGGCCUUUGAAGUUCUGAGCCCUUCACCAGAACCCAGAAUAUUUUAAAGGAUGAUUUAAGAGUCAGCCUGUGUAUGCCUGGACAAGAAAGCCACCAUCAGAAAACAGUUUGCUUUUGAAGUUCGCUGCAUCUCCCAAUGCCAAGACUGGAAAACUGGGCCCUUCCCUGAGCUACAUAACUGGGCAGCUCAGGGGAGGAGCAGCUGCUACCAAUGUUGGAGUCAGUGUGUGUAUCUGGAACUGAGGGCUACGGCAGUGCAUGUACUUGUUUCAGUUGAACGUGAGAAACACACACUCGCACCGGAUGAGCUUCUCCAGUCAGCUUCAGUUCACUGUCCACCACACAAAGCCUGGGAGGCCUUGGGAGGUUAGAACCAUUUGCCAGAAGAAGGCUGGAGGCCUGGGCCUAGAGUACAACGGUGUAAUCUCCCAAUGCUUUUCCUGAUUGGUCCACAGGCUUAGGGGCCAGCUUCUGGGGUUACUUUCUGACUUUCACGGACCAAUGGAUUAUUGCAGGAACGCUUGCUCAGAGUCCUUGUGAAUUGACCAUG